AUGGGUCUUGGUAGAUUUUGCCAACUUGGAUGGGAAAAUUGUCUCUCUGUCUACUAUCUAUCUAUCUAUCUAUCUAUCUAUCUAUCUAUCUAUCUAUCUAUCUGUCUGUCUGUGUCUGUCUGUCUAUCUAUCUGUCUGUCUGUCUGUCUAUCUAUCUAUCUGUCUGUCUGCCUAUCUGCCUGCCUAUCUAUCUGUCUAUCUGUCUGUCUGUCUGUCUAUCUAUCUAUCUAUCUAUCUAUCCAUCUAUCCAUCCAUCCAUCUAUCUGUCUAUCUAUCUGUCUAUCUAUCUAUCUAUCUAUCUAUCUAUCUAUCUAUCUAUCUAUCUAUCUAUCUAUCUAUUUCUCUGUAUCUAUCUCUAUAGCCAUCUAUCUACCAUUUUCUAAAGCUUUGUCAGAUGCCGGAUAGAGUGCCUGUCAUGGAGUCAGGAAGACACAUCUUUCUGAAUUCAAAUCUGGCCCUAGACACAUACUAGCUGUGUGAUUCUGGACAAGUCACUUAACCCUAUUUGCCUCAGUUUUUCAUCUAUAAAAUGAACUGGAGAAGGAAAUGGCAAACCACUCUAGCUUUAUCAAGAAAAACAAAUGAUACCAUGAAGAGCUGGACAUGACUGAAAAAUGACUGAACAACAACAUAAACCUGAAAGCACAGUAUAAAUUCCUAUACUGGUGGUAGUGCUAUUAGUUUCCCUCGGUCACUGUAGUAGUAUUGGCUGUGGUACUAGUAGAAUUUUAUUUGUGGUCCAAAGGACACAAUUGGAAACCAGUCUUUGUUUUGUUGACCAAAGUAAAUAGCCUUAAUGAGGUCGAGCCAGAAUUUGGAUUUGGAUCCAAUUUGGUUUCAGCCUACUUGGAUUAAUAAUUGUGUGAAUUUGAGUAGGCCACUUCCUUUCCCUGAGCCUCAGUUUCUGCAUCUUUAAAAUGCUGGAUUUGAAAGAGAUGAACUUCUAAGGACCUUUCCACCUCUAAAUCUAUUGCCCUAUGAAAACUUAAGUCACUUAACAAGUGGGCAGGAAAAUACUGUCAAAAUAUUUCCACCUACCAUGCUCUGAAGGAGGCUGAUUUGGUUCUGGAUGUUACAUGUCUCUGACAGUGAUGAAGAAAUGUGAUUUAUAGAGUGAUGCCCAUUGUCGUCCUCUCUGCAUUAUAAUGAAGUACCUCAGAGUUGGACCCAUUUACCCCUGAGGCAGGUUAGUGUUACUUGCAUUGGCAUUGCCUCCUUAAUUCAGUUCAAACUCCCAUUUUCAAUUUCUCAAUCCUUUUGCUGUUCAAAUUAAUCAAAUGAAUUAAAGAUGAAUAAUGGCUGGCUCUGUUCCUAUAGUAACAAAUGUCACAUUUCUGCAACUUCAGGAACAAGGUUGGCUAUUUUAAGAGCUCCUUGUUUAUACUCUUCACAAAUAAGGAUGGGCAGUAGGUGUUGAUUUCUUCCAUGAUGUUGGUAUUUAAAUCCCUAGGCAGAAGGGUGUGGCGCACCCACUGGGUUGAGGUGGUCAAAGGCGGAUUUGGUUUUUAGGGUGGCUUCAGUGGCUGCUUGACAACCCUAAAGUGGCCAGAUCCCACCUCCUCCCGUGGCAAUCAGGGUUACCGGUUCAGAAGAAGCACAUUCUUGAGAGGUUUCUCUGAUCAUUGGUGCUACUUCUGGGACUUUGGGUCAUGGAAUAGGAAUCCUUCAUUAGUAUUAACUACCAUUUUCAUCAGAAGUAACCAUUCUUCAAGUCCCCAGGGUUAUGGAGCACCACAGAGAAAUGGAAAAUUGUUACUCCUGGUCACCAAGUAUGGGUUUAAGCUGUGGAUAAAGAAUCACAUCUUUCACCGAGGGCAUCAGUGGGACCUAAGCCAGUGUUAAUCAGACUCAAAUGGAAAGGAGGCCAUUGAUGCAUGCAUUAGGAUCCCCAUGGACCACAUAUUGACUUGGUUUUAAAAUAUCAUCUUCUUUAUGCCUUAUUAUAUUUUCAUUUAUUUUGUUGAAUAUUAUCCAGUUACAUUUUCAUUUGAUUGGGCCUCAUGGGGACGUAUUGUGACAUCCUUUGACCUAAGCCGUGAGUCAAACAGAUCAAACCUUUUAGGUGUAGCCUAGAGAUAUUGGGGACAUCACAGAAGCCCAUGGCUUCCCAAUCUUGACAUUACCAAUUCUGGAUAAACAAACUAGAGGGAGCUAAUAAGGAUCAUUUUGGAAAAUGGUACUAAUCAUGAUAAUAAUAAUAAUGAUCAUUUAUAUCAUUCUUUGCAAAGCCCUUUAAAAGUUUACCUAUUUUUAUUUCCACAAUAACCCUGGGAGGUAGGUGCUAUUAGUAACCCCAUUUUACUCAUGAGGAAACUGAGUCACAGAGAAUAAAGUGACUUGUUUGGGGUUACA
rnacentral:lncRNA from 1 species